GAAUACAGACAGACUUCCUGUCGCUUAUUUCUGUCGAUAUAAGGCCCUACGAGCCUCCUCCUUUGUGUAUUUCUUCGUGUGUUUGGAGAAAACCCAUGAAGAUGAUGAUCAGAAUGCUUGUGUCCUCUCUAGCCACGACCUACUACUCCACCUGCUGCUGCUACUGCUGCUGCGAGAUUAACAUCGAUACAGGCCUGGCAGACCCUGUGAACAUCGGUCCCCCCGUGGACAUUCCCCAAAUCCCAGACUGGCACGACGGGGAGUUUGGGGAUUCCUACGGAUCCCAUCUGGUUGAUUAGUUUGCCACCCACAUGGGUGGCACCGGUUGCUGUUGCGCAAGGUUCUGGACCGCUUGUUGAACAGUCGACUGUUGCGAACGCCUAUUUCAUGUCUUGCAGGGUAGCCUGAGCUAUCUUAGGUUAUGGUGUAAUCAGAUAGGAAGCGUCAGUGACUGCUUUCUGAAAGUAUCACUUGAAUAAGAAACGAUCCAUGUGCUUUAGCAAAUCUGGGUGAUCGAUCGAAUGUAUGCAACGGAAGCAUUGUAAUUGAGGGUGGGGGAAAGUAGGUCGGGGUUGGACUGUUUUGGCUAAAAGUUUGCUCGUUGCACA